CUCCUUCUCCUGCCGCUGAUGCUGUCUUUCACGGCGUCGGCACGGCACUUGACUCCCACCGCGGAUUACUCGGUGCUGAGGAAGGUGCCUCGUGGACCAGACCCCAUAAUGUCCGACCCACCGCCUCGGCCGCCAGCCAAGAGCACACAUUUUCCGGUGCUGAGGAAGGUGCCUCGUGGGCCAGACCCCAUAACAUCUGACACGCCCCCACCGCCGGCCACGAGCGUGCACUUCUCCGUGCUGAGGAAGGUGCCUCGUGGGCCGGACCCUAUAACAUCGGACCCACCGCCGCCGCCAGCCACCAGCCCACACUUCUCGGUGCUUCGGAAGGUGCCUUUCAGACCAGAUCCCAUAGUAUCUUAUGCUCCACCGCCACCGGCGACAAGCGCUCACUUCUCGGUUCUCCGGAAGGUCCCCCGUGGGCCGGACCCCAUCACGUCCGACUCACCGCCGCCACCUCCGAGGGACCUCUCGGUGCUCAGGAAGGUUCCUACCGGACCAAACCCAGAGACGUCCGACUCACCGCCACCACCUCCGAGGGACUUCUCGGUGCUCGGGAAGGUUCCUACCGGACCAAACCCAGAGACGUCCGACUCACCGCCACCACCUCCGAGGGAUUUCUCGGUGCUCAGGAAGGUUCCUACCGGACCAAACCCGGCGACGUCCGACUCACCGCCACCACCUCCGAGGGACUUCUCGGUGCUCAGGAAGGUUCCUACCGGACCAAACCCGGUGACGUCCGACUUACCGUCGCCACCACGGCUGCCAGCUGCAGCUUCUCCGGCGUGAUGCAAUUACCGGCGCCAUGCAUGUUACAUGUGAUGUAGCUACCUUGUAGUGUUA
rnacentral:lncRNA from 1 species